rnacentral:rRNA from 1 species
GGCGGCGUGCUUAACACAUGCAAGUCGAACGAUGAAACGCCUUCGGGUGGGGAUUACUGGCGAACGGGUGAGUAACACGUGGGCAAUCUGCCCUGCACUCUGGGACAAGCCCUGGAAACGGGGUCUAAUACCGGAUACUGACCUGCCGAGGCAUCUCGGCGGGUCGAAAGCUCCGGCGGUGCAGGAUGAGCCCGCGGCCUAUCAGCUUGUUGGUGAGGUAAUGGCUCACCAAGGCGACGACGGGUAUCCGGCCUGAGAGGGCGACCGGCCACACUGGGACUGAUACACGGCCCAGACUCCUACGGGAGGCAGCAGUGGGGAAUAUUGCACAAUGGGCGCAAGCCUGAUGCAGCGACGCCGCGUGAGGGAUGACGGCCUUCGGGUUGUAAACCUCUUUCAGCAGGGAAGAAGCGAGAGUGACGGUACCUGCAGAAGAAGCGCCGGCUAACUACGUGCCAGCAGCCGCGGUAAUACGUAGGGCGCAAGCGUUGUCCGGAAUUAUUGGGCGUAAAGAGUUCGUAGGCGGCUUGUCGCGUCGGUUGUGAAAGCCCGGGGCUUAACCCCGGGUCUGCAGUCGAUACGGGCAGGCUAGAGUUCGGUAGGGGAGAUCGGAAUUCCUGGUGUAGCGGUGAAAUGCGCAGAUAUCAGGAGGAACACCGGUGGCGAAGGCGGAUCUCUGGGCCGAUACUGACGCUGAGGAGCGAAAGCGUGGGGAGCGAACAGGAUUAGAUACCCUGGUAGUCCACGCCGUAAACGGUGGGCACUAGGUGUGGGCAACAUUCCACGUUGUCCGUGCCGCAGCUAACGCAUUAAGUGCCCCGCCUGGGGAGUACGGCCGC